rnacentral:rRNA from 1 species
UACGUAGGGCGCAAGCGUUGUCCGGAAUUACUGGGCGUAAAGAGCUCGUAGGCGGUCUGUCGCGUCCGUUGUGAAAACUCGAGGCUCAACCUCGGGCUUGCAGUGGAUACGGGCAGACUAGAGUGCGGUAGGGGAGACUGGAAUUCCUGGUGUAGCGGUGGAAUGCGCAGAUAUCAGGAGGAACACCGAUGGCGAAGGCAGGUCUCUGGGCCGCAACUGACGCUGAGGAGCGAAAGCCAGGGGAGCGAACGGG